rnacentral:rRNA from 1 species
UACGUAGGGUGCAAGCGUUGUCCGGAAUUAUUGGGCGUAAAGAGCUCGUAGGCGGUUCGUCGCGUCGGCUGUGAAAUCCCGAGGCUCAACCUCGGGUCUGCAGUCGAUACGGGCGGACUGGAGUUCGGCAGGGGAGACUGGAAUUCCUGGUGUAGCGGUGAAAUGCGCAGAUAUCAGGAGGAACACCGGUGGCGAAGGCGGGCUCUGGGCCCGAUACUGACGCUGAGGUACGAAAGCGUGGGGAGCGAACAGG